AACGUUUCAGUUUCGCCGAGUGUUUUAAUAACAUGAAAGCUCCAGCGCGUGCGUUUACCGUAAGCUGCAAGCGCGUGCGUCCCGAGAAACUUACGCGAAUCCGCACUGAUAUUUCUGUCCUUACUAUAAGAUCAGCACAUGAACCUGAGCAAAGCAAACCAUUCCUCACUGUUCAGCUGACCAAGCAAACCAUUUCUGCGUGUUUCCUACACAGAGUGUGCUGUGAAACCUUACACACACACACACACACACACACACACACACACACUUUCCAUUGACAUAAUUGUUAGUGAAACUAAUUAAUGCCUAAACUUUAACUUCAGGAAGAUUAGGUGAUUUUAUUUAUUUAUUUAUUUACUUACUUACUUACUUCUAUAAAAAACAAUAACUGUCAGAUAUUCCUAUCAUUGUGGGGACAUUUGGUCUCCAGUAAACAUACAUCCCCUCCAUAAACCCCCACCACACACACACACACACACACACACACACACACUGCAGUAUUGUCAGCACAAUAGUUACACAAUAGUAGUAGUCAAUAAAAUGCAUUUCAAAAUAGAUUGAGAUUUCCCCCCAGUAAAUUAUUGUUUUGUUUUGUUCAUUAUGUAGUUCAUGUGUGUACAGCUCUGAAGUUACUGUUUCUGGCAGUAUCUGUUAUGCUGUAAAGUGCUUUGUUCUCCAUUUGGCCACAACCAGGUGAGGAAAUGCUAAUUGGUUCCAGUAAACCAGUAAAGAGAGCCUGGUUUCUUUCACUUACAUCAUGAAAUAACAUAUUAAAUGACUUCAGUGAAAAUAGCUCAAUGACAGAAUAAAUGGCUAACAAUCUUCAUGGCUGAGAAUUAUAGAAAUAAAAAAACACUAACGUGCACUGCGUCGAUCAGAACUACUUUAGUCUCAGUUUCAGCUGUCAGGAAGUUGUGGUACGGUUUAAAAAUUUAAAUAAAACUGUAUUUAUUUGAAACCACGAGCCCAUUACUUUAUAGCAGUAAAUUGGCUAGAAGUUUAAAUGUGAUUAUUUAUUAUACUGUGUUUUUGCCUUCAUCAAUAUUCUGUUGUUAUUUUUUGCAGUCAUAACUGCACCUAGACAGGCAUGUGAGUCAUCUUAUUUGCAUGGAUUCAUGAGUCUUUCUUAUAGAAAGUGUAUAAUAAACAAAAAUUCCCUGAUUACACCACGUUGGCCAGACCGUAAAUUUUCAAGCACAUGACUUUGCUAGUCACGGUUAUGACAGCCAAUCCCUGCCUGUAAGUCUGAACUGGUGCUGGCAGGCUAAAAACAGCUACACCUUCUCAUGUUCUGUUAUUAAUAGCACCCUUUCCUUGUGUUUGUACAGUUUAGCUGAAAAUGAACUGGGUUUUUUUGUUCGUUUUGUUUUCUUUUGUUUUCUUUUUUUUUAAUAUAUAAGGCAUAAGGCAUUUUGAAAAUUUCCCUUGUGUCAUUUGGGUAGCUUUCGGCUUCUGAGCACUCCUGUUUCUUUUUUUGGGAGCUGUCUCAGGAGUAUGGAAACUCACCCUCAUGACUCACCAAAGGCUGUGUGUGCUCUCUUUCAGAGAAUAUAAUAAUAAUAAUAAUAAUUAUAAUAAUAAUAAAGGCAUUAACAAUGUUACACAAUAUCUUUGUAUGGGAUAUUAAUGUACUGCAUAUUGUUGAACACAAAAGUUUGUUCAGGAAAGGAGAUAUUUUUUACAUAUGUAGAAGGAAUAAUAUAAUAUGUCCAUAUACACUAUACAAAUAAUUUCCCAGAAUACAAUAAUUAUGGUAAUUUUUUUAAAAUAUAUAUAUUUAUUUAACUUUUAAAUAAAUGGAAAUAAACAUGCAUUGUUGUCAUUUUAAGCAGUAGCAUUCUCCUCAGUGAAAAUGAUUGAUAUUGCACCAUUAACCCAUGAUACUAGAACAUGCUGAAACUGAGGUGUAUGUUUUUUUUUUUAAUGAUUUUGUUCACAUUAAAUUGAAUUAAUUUCACAGGCAUACAGCUGGUGUCUGAAAUAACAAUAGUCUGUUAUGUAACCUGUUACUGAACCUUAUAACCUUUCGUUCCAUUCUGAUUCAGCUGCACGAAUCUCUACCUUCUGUUUCCCUUCUGGGUAAGAAUCAGUGUGUCAUCAUUCCCUGAGCUUCACACAGACUUUCAUAAGUUAUAGGAAGAGUUAAAUCCACCGCUCUUUUUCAAGCACAUGAAUGGUGGAAGUCAUCCACCACACUGCCUCUCUCUGAGCUGCUGAAAUCUCCUUAUUCAAGUCAGGCAAGCCUACAAAUCAUGGGAACCGUACUUCGUCAUCCUUGAUGCCCUUUGAGGAUGUGAACGGACAGGUCUAUCUAUUAACUUCCUCAAAAUGGUGCUUAAUUGGAUCUCUUCAUUCCUCCUCCAAGGACAUUCAUACUUUGAGAUUGUAACUUCACGGGCUGCUCGUCUCCUGUGCACACUAAAACUACAUCCAGACCAUGCUGGCUGGCAUGACACGUUACAUUUCCAUACAGAUUUUAGGUGUCAAAAUGUUUCUAAGUAAGUAACAGAUAAGUGCACACACCCAUAUUAUACAAAUAGCAGAUUUGGAUAACACCAAUGCUUGAUUAAUCAUCCAGAAAGAAAUGAACAUGACAUUUACAUUACAGCUAACGACUGUGUAUGAUUCAAGGGUACAGUAUAAUUUAAAAACACAGUAUAAUUUAAACACAGUAUAAUUUAAAAGGGUUUACAUGAAUUCAGUUCUAAUUAGCCAAAGAAAAGCAGAUGAAACUAUUGGUAUAUAUUGUGCUGAAGUAGCAUGAAAAAUGUGACAUAGUCAGCUGACAUGCUGUCUUUAUGACUUGGUGAAAUAAGAUAUAACUGACUCAAUCAACACAGACAUUUAAAUAGUUUCAGGGAGGGGAACUGAUUCACUGGUUAAGAGUGAGGUAAUAACUGAACACUACCAUAACAGUGCUGGUGUGUUUGUAUUUGUGCAUCUUUGGCUGCAUUGCUAGUUGCUGUAAGGAGAAAGAACGACCGUGUUGAAUAUCAACUGGAUUCAAAUCUUACAUCUUCAGAAGCACUUUGCUUGCACAGCUGAUGAAGGACAUCUGCCAAAAAACAUGCAGUUUCAAUGAAAACUUACAAUGCCUCUGACAAUUAUUUUUAACAGGCCAACAGUCAGUAAGGCCUAUUUAACACCAGACACAGUAAAAGCGUCGCGUGUCUGCGCUGGGUCCAGUAAGCUUCCGUAUUAGGCAAAAAAUGUGCCCUUUUACACCGGACACAAAGGUUAUUGGCUAAAGGAUAUUUUUCACUUGUGCCAUAACGUCCAAGAUUAGAAAUACUAGUUUCCUUCAAAGUCUGGUCACUAAAUAAAAGUAAAAAUAAAAAUACACAUGUUCCAUCAUUUGCCUAAAUAAUUAAGGUAAGCGCACUCAUUUGAUAAAGCAGUUAUUGUUUCUCUGUAAGUUACUGUAAGUCCAGAUUUGUCUUACAGUUGAUGUGAGAGUACAGAAUGUGUUGUGUGCUACAACUGCACAAUCAGAGUGAAACAGGCCUUUUCAAGUCAGAUUUCUCUUCCCAGUUACAAACAUUACUCAGUUCAUUUAAACCUAUUUUUUACUAGUUCUAGAGUUUAUAAAAACUUUUGAAUGGCAGUGUAAAUGUUACACACGCAUGAUUCAUGUAAAUUGAAGCUCAAUAUUUGAAUAAAUGACAAAGACCAAUGCUUUAAAAUGCAUUUCUGUGAGUCUUUUAAGUCUUAUCUGUUUUGCAAAUUUUGGAAAGCACCGUUUACGAAUAGCGCUUACGACCAACUGUU